GACAGAGGUGCCAAGCGUUAGGCGGAAUCACUGGGCUUAAAGCGUGUGUAGGCGGAUCGUUAAGUACCUUGUGAAAUCCCACGGCUCAACCGUGGAACGGCUGGGUAUACUGGCGGUCUUGAGCCACCUAGGGGCGAGCGGAACAAACGGUGGAGCGGUGAAAUGCGUAGAUAUCGAGAGGAACACCAGUGGCGAAGGCGAGUCUCUGGACACUUCCUGACGCUGAGGCACGAAAGCCAGGGGAGCAAACGGG
rnacentral:rRNA from 1 species